rnacentral:lncRNA from 1 species
ACUAUAUGAAAAAUGAAAAUAUCAUUUUUGUUUUAUUUAGAUGAACUCCAGGACAUUGUUUCUGAAUCACAGGCAGUGGGAAAAAUAGAUAAACCUGUGCUGCCUGGUGUUUUAGACAACAUCUGUGAAAAUAAAAUGAACUCCAAAUGGGCAUGUUGGACACCUGUAACAACUAUUAAACUAUGUGAUAACCAAAGAGUCAAUACUUUUUCAGGAGAAACAUUCAAUCAAGAUAUUGAUAUCAACAAGCAAUAUACUAAACAAAAAUCAUCUUCUAUAUCUGAUGAUGAUUCUGAAGAAACAGAAAAUGCAAAAUAUACAAAAGAAAUAGUGGAUCCUAACAAAGUAUACAAAGCAGAAGAAUUGUGCAAAAGAAACAAUCAACAAAAUCAUCCACAGUAUUCAGAGCAGAAUACUGAAAAUACCAAGCAGAGUGACUGGCACAUUCAAUCUGAAACAACUUUUAAGUCAGUUCUUCUAAAUAAGACAAUUGAAGAAUCUCUGAUAUAUAGGAAGAAAUACAUAUUGUCAAAAGAUGUGAAUACUGCUAUUUGUGAUAAAAGCCCUUCUCCUAGAAAAAAUGUGAAAAGUCAGAGAAAAUCAGGGAAAGCAGUGACUUCGGAACUUAAUUCCUGGGAAUUGAAAGAAAAACAAAUGGUGAGCUU